rnacentral:rRNA from 1 species
AUACGUAGGGGGCGAGCGUUGUCCGGAAUGAUUGGGCGUAAAGGGCGCGUAGGCGGCCCGGUAAGUCUGGAGUGAAAGUCCUGUUUUUAAGAUGGGAAUUGCUUUGGAUACUGUCGGGCUUGAGUGCAGGAGAGGUAAGUGGAAUUACCAGUGUAGCGGUGAAAUGCGUAGAGAUUGGGAGGAACACCAGUGGUGAAGGCGACUUACUGGACUGUAACUGACGCUGAGGCGCGAAAGCGUGGGGAGCGAACAGGAUUAGAUACCCUGGUAGUCCACGCGGUAAACGAUGAAUGCCAGGUGUUGCGGGUAUCGACCCCUGCAGUGCCGGAGUAAACACAAUAAGCAUUCCGCCUGGGGAGUACGGCCGCAAGGUUGAAACUCAAAGGAAUUGACGGGG